AUUAAAUCUGAAAGGAUUUAUUUAUUCCUAAGGACCGGUGUUCAAGAAGCCCAGUCUCUGCAGAAAUCUCUCCAUCUCUGUGACUCCAGCCCUUGUGUGGGCAAGUGUGACCUCUGAGUGUCUUACAACACUGCUGUUGAUACACACAUUAAUGAGAUGGAAAACGAUGAACGUGGCCAAACGCGAUGUCUUUCUGCCAGAACGAAUUCCCCGGGUAACCUUCCGCGCUAAAGAACUAUACGCUAGCCUUUUCAGAAGCGAAGGGCUUUGGAGGCACUGGGCAAUUUCGAUCUUCACAAGCAGAUGGUCAAAGAACGGCAGCAGGGAGUAUGUUGGAUUUCAUACUCUAUACUGAUAAAUUCAUUUAUUUAUUCGGCAUCUGUUCUGACGCCACGGAGUAGAAAUUAUUCUUUUGAAUUCUGAUUGAAUUCUUUUGAAGUAGCCUACUGUCAUAGAUCUUCAGAUGAGUUGAAAUAUUUCACACAGGUCAUAUAGAUCACGUUUAUGACAAAAACACUAAGGGUUGGAAGUUGUAGGGCCCAUGUUUAUUAUUUAAGUUAUAUUCCAUUAUUAUUUAUUUAUUUAAACCUAAACAAGUUUGGAAUGACAAUGAGGGUGGAAAAAGAAUAUGCUAUUUCCGGGUGUUGUAUCCCAUUCAUCAUACUGUAUAAACUUAAAAUAAUUAAUAAAUAAAAUACAAUUGUUAUAUAUUACCCAGGCUAUAUACACUGUAAAAAAUGAUUUUUUGAACUUGUAAAUAAAGAUACCAUCAGUUAAGUAAAUUUUACAAACAAAUACUAUUUUGUCUUUUUACUUCAAAAUAUCAUGUUUAAUUCAAUAAGCUACUUGAGGUUUCAUUUUUAUUUAUUUUACUUAAAUACACAAGUAAAUUCAAAUGGAACUGCCUAGGUAGAAAUGAAAGUUAAAACUCAAGUAUAUUUUACUAGGAACCGUUUGUUAUGCUUACAAGGAUUCUUUAAGUAAAUACCAAAGUUAUGAUGCCAUAUUUCCCAUCAAGCAAUGGGGCAUGAAUAAUUAAAAAUGUACACUGUU